AAAGGAUGGGAAAAGAACUUUGUGGCUUCGUACACUGAGGAUUCAGUUUGGAUUGGUUUGAAUGACAAACAAACUGAGGGUACCUGGCAGUGGGUUGAUGGAUCUUCUCCGUCUCUGACGUUCUGGUGGAAGAAUCAGCCUGAUAAUGGCGGUAAAGGCUCUGGAGCUGUAGAGGAAGACUGUGCACUCAUCAGAACUGAUGACUUGUGGAACGACCUUCAAUGUUCUCAGUCUCUGCACUGGAUCUGUGAAAAAGAAAUGACACAGAUCAUCUAAACAAGCAUUUUAACUGCUUUAUAGCACAGACCAAUAUGCCAUUAUGAUCUGUUAUUAAAUAGACGCAGCUUGAAGUGGCUUUUUCAAGCAUAUUGUUUAAUUUUGUAUGUACAUGUAUAUGUUAAUAAUCAGAAACAUUCCUUACGAAACUUGACCCAUUUAAAAAAACUAAACAUCACUGGUAGAAAAAUCAGCAAUUGGUGGAAACGUUUAAGUAAAAAUAUUUGAACUAUUAAUCUAUUAAUAUGAUUAGUUUUUAAAAAUCCUUUCCAACAAUCUAACAUUCAUUAUACAAUCAGUUAUGAUGUCUCCUCUGCUCUGAUCCGUCUGUUUAGUGGCAUUAAACGGAUGCAUGUUGUAGCAAUAUCAAUAUUUUACAGGAAGUUACUACUUCAAGGAAGAAGAUUAAAUCUGCUGGUGUUAUUUUUGAAUUUUGAAUGCAAGUCUUGCAUUUAUAUAAUAAUGCUUUUUCAGGAUUGCUCAAUAAAAAUAUGUAUUUCUAUGUCAUAUGCA